UAACACGUAUCCAACCUGCCGUCUACUCUUGGACAGCCUUCUGAAAGGAAGAUUAAUACAAGAUGGCAUCAUGAGUUCACAUGUUCACAUGAUUAAAGGUAUUCCGGUAGACGAUGGGGAUGCGUUCCAUUAGAUAGUAGGCGGGGCAACGGCCCACCUAGUCUUCGAUGGAUAGGGGUUCUGAGAGGAAGGUCCCCCACAUUGGAACUGAGACACGGUCCAAACUCCUACGGGAGGCAGCAGUGAGGAAUAUUGGUCAAUGGGCGAGAGCCUGAACCAGCCAAGUAGCGUGAAGGAUGACUGCCCUAUGGGUUGUAAACUUCUUUUAUAAAGGAAUAAAGUCGGGUAUGUAUACCCGUUUGCAUGUACUUUAUGAAUAAGGAUCGGCUAACUCCGUGCCAGCAGCCGCGGUAAUACGGAGGAUCCGAGCGUUAUCCGGAUUUAUUGGGUUUAAAGGGAGCGUAGAUGGAUGUUUAAGUCAGUUGUGAAAGUUUGCGGCUCAACCGUAAAAUUGCAGUUGAUACUGGAUAUCUUGAGUGCAGUUGAGGCAGGCGGAAUUCGUGGUGUAGCGGUGAAAUGCUUAGAUAUCACGAAGAACUCCGAUUGCGAAGGCAGCCUGCUAAGCUGCAACUGACAUUGAGGCUCGAAAGUGUGGGUAUCAAACAGGAUUAGAUACCCUGGUAGUCCACACGGUAAACGAUGAAUACUCGCUGU
rnacentral:rRNA from 1 species